rnacentral:tRNA from 1 species
UCGUCGGUAGUUCAGUGGUAGAAUGCUCGCCUGCUACGCUGGCGGCGAGGGUUCAAUUCUCGACCGACGCA